CACACCGCGUUCCUUUUCCCACAUAUUUAUGUCACUGAGCUUCUGCAGCACUCCGGCUACAUUCUUAGCAUUGCGGGUGACCUCGCACGCAGGGGAUAUGGUAAGGAUAAUCCCAUUGCACUGAUGUUCGCUUUGCUAUAUGCGACGAUCACUUGUCAAGUGCUGCUACAUUCCUGCUUUUCCAUGACUUCAAGAAGGUACUAUAUCAUUUGAACAUGCUGGCAUCGCAAAUGUCGAGUGUGUUGCUGGGAUAAGCGUCAAACACAGCAAACCGGGAAAUGACAUUGGUGUUAUACUAUCUCCGGUGGGCGUUUGGCAUCCUGGUCUUCAAGAGAUCACAACCGAGUCUCGAUAAAUGGUGUUUCUGGAACAUCCUGUCCAUUUCCUCGAUUUCCGGUUUAUCUAAACGGUAAGGUCCUUGAAUUCCAAUACCUUGGUCUAACUAUCCAAAAAUGUCAGCUUCUUCUGAUAAAGGAUCAUGGUGACAAUGUAAUGACUACGCGUUAUAGUUCGCUAUUAGUCUUAAUCCCUACCAUGUCGGUCGCCUAAAGUCACAAACAUAAUACAUGCACCGGUUCAACUCUGGUUUCCAUGCUGCUCAUACUUCCCCCCUUUCCCACAUCAUCGACUAAUAUUUACAUACAAGGCAUUGUUAAACUAGUAAUGAGAACAAUCUCCACACCAAGCAGCAUUCCUAUAAGAUAAUGCAAUAUUGACCUAUGAAAAAAAAAAAUUGCUUUAAUUCAAUAUUGAAACCGGCAAUCUUGGAUGCGGUGGCCAGAAUAGUUAUAUAAUAAUCAGUUAUUACCUGUUAACAUCUGGGCUUUCCGCAUACUAGUGCCCACUAUGACGCUAUCUGAUGAAAGCUCUCUGAAGCAAGAGCAGCUUUCUUACGAGACCUGACUCAUUUUCACAAGUCUCCCUUUGUUAACAGAGCUGACCAUCUCAAAUAUGAAAUGCUGAUUUUACAUUCAUUCUCUCUCUAGCAUCCUCAAGGUUGACUCUGAUGGGGAUGGGAGUAUUACGAUUAUGCUAGUCAAUUUUAUUGAGUCUCUGUAUUCUAUAUAUUGUUGGUGUUGCUAUGAUUUCAAGUAUUUAUUUCCACAUCUCAAGUCUCAAUUAUUCUCAACAAGAUCUUGUUCCUACUUGAUAGAUGGGUAUAUCACUAGUUAAAUUCUGGCCUGCACUAAUCUUUCUACGGUGCA
rnacentral:sRNA from 2 species